rnacentral:rRNA from 1 species
GAUGAACGCUGGCGGCAUGCUUAACACAUGCAAGUCUUUGGGGAAUAUGUGCGUGGCCAGGUUGGCGCAGGCGGCCGGGUGAGUAACGCGUAAAGAACUCGCCCUUCAGACAGAGCUAACAGACAGAACCGACUGAUAACACCUGAUACAAUUUACUGCGCGCAAGUGCCUGGCCUUGAAUAGUGAGGCUGCAGUAGAGCUUUGCGUCCUAUUAGCUUGUUGGUGAGGUGACGGCUGACAAAGGCGAUGAUAGCUAGCCGGCCUGAGGGGGUGAACGGCCACAAGGGGACUGAGAUACGGCCCAGACGCCAACGGGAGGCAGCAGUGGGGAAUAUUGGGAAAUGGGGGCAACCCUGAGCCAGCGAUUGUGUGUGGACGAAGAAGGUUUUCGGACUGUAAAGGGCUUUCAUCAGGGAAGAAGAAGGUGACGGUACCUGCAGAAGAAGCGACGGCUAAAUACGUG